rnacentral:lncRNA from 1 species
AAACCCUAGUGCCUCCAUUUUUCGUUUUUCGUUCAAACUUUCUCCUUCAUCCUCACAAACCCUAGUGCCUCCAUUUUUCGUUCUCACCGUUCUCCUUCAUCCUCGCAAACCGUAGUGCCUCCAUUUUUCGUUCUCACCGUUCUCCUUCAUCCUCCAUUCACUUUCUCCUUCAUCUCGAUCAUCUUUAAGGCCUCAAUAAACACCAUCUCCCGUUCCAUUAGCAUCUCCAUCUUCGCAACCUUCAAUGUCCCCAGUAAACGCCAGUUACGUGGUAGUGAUAACACCAAAAUAUCAAUAGUAGCACGAACCUUAAUCACCUUCCACCGUUUUGCAUUUUGCCUCUCUGUUUUUUUCCCAAAUCGCAUGAACCCUAAUCAGCUGCCAUGGUUUCUCAUUUCUUAAUUUAUUUUCUUUUUCAAAUUGCAUGAACCCUAACCUACAUUUGGUGAGUCCUAAGCACACUUUCAGGUAGUUUCUUAAUUUUCUUCUGAAUUUCUACUUAAAUUUUUUAUUUUGUUUUCUAAACAUUUGCUUUGGUUUCAAUGGAUUGCUACUGACUUUAUUUUGAUUUUAUAAUUAUUAUUCAAUAUUUGAAGCCUGGGUCACCUUGGAUCACUUGUUCUAUUUGAUAACCCUAUGAAGCAAUUAGAGCCUAGUAGCACCAUUUCAUGUCUAUACCUCCAUUGAAGUCUAAUGAUAUUAAGGAAAUAAGGAAUUUACACAAUAAAAUCAUCUAAUAAUUCUGUUAAAUCGUUAAACAAGACCUUUUGAGAACAAAAUAAUUCUUUUUAUCUUCUGUUUUUUCAGUCAUGGAUAUGGAUGCAACAAGCAAUGCACCCUGAAUUGAAUUACAAUAGCAGUUUAAGGAAAAAAAUGGGUAAGUAAUCUUUAAUAUUACAAUUGAAUUAUAGUUGUGCAGUUAGCAGUUUAAGAAAAAAAUGGGUAAGCUAUGCACCCUGAAUUGAAUUACAGUUGCAGUCGCAUACCAAUUUUUAAUAUUGUAGAGAAUCGCAGUCAUAUGUGAUCUAUAUAACCUCAACUGCGAUUACAUUACAAUUUCAAUCAUAUUAAAAAAAUAUUAAUUAUGUUGCAGUCCAAAUAAUGGUUGAAGACAGAUAAUACCAAUAAAAAGCAUGUCAAUAAAGAAAUGGUUUAAGGAAAGAAAGAUGAAGAGGAAAGAAGAACAGAGAUUGCACAGAGCAGAGGUGCAUGCAGCAAUGUCAAUUGCAAG